rnacentral:rRNA from 1 species
AAAGAUUAAGCCAUGCAUGUCUAAGUAUAAGCAACUUGUACAGUGAAACUGCGAAUGGCUCAUUAAAUCAGUUAUCGUUUAUUUGAUAAUCCCUUACUACAUGGAUACCUGUGGUAAUUCUAGAGCUAAUACAUGCUUCAAUGGGUGGCUUUCGUCACCCUGCACUUAUUAGAUAAAAAACCAAUGCCCCUUUGGGGCUCCUUGGUGAUUCAUAAUAAUUUAGCGGACCGCAUUCCCUCGAGGAGGCGGUGGAUCAUUCAAAUUUCUGCCCUAUCAACUUUCGAUGGUAGGAUAGUGGCCUACCAUGGUUUCAACGGGUAACGGGGAAUUAGGGUUCUAUUCCGGAGAGGGAGCCUGAGAAACGGCUACCACAUCCAAGGAAGGCAGCAGGCGCGCAAAUUACCCAAUCCCAAUACGGGGAGGUAGUGACAAUAAAUACUGAUACAGGGCUCUUCUGAGUCUUGUAAUUGGAAUGAGUACAAUUUAAAUCCCUUAACGAGGAACAAUUGGAGGGCAAGUCUGGUGCCAGCAGCCGCGGUAAUUCCAGCUCCAAUAGCGUAUAUUAAAGUUGUUGCAGUUAAAAAGCUCGUAGUUGACCCUUGGGCCUGGCUGGCCGGUCCGUCUCAUCGCGUGUACUGGUCCGGCUGGCCUUUCCUUCUGGCUAGGCACAUGCCCUUUACUGGGUGUGUGUCCGAACCAGGACUUUUACUUUGAAAAAAUUAG